GAUGAACGCUAGCGGCAGGCUUAAUACAUGCAAGUCGAGGGGCAGCAUGAAUGUAGCAAUACAUUUGAUGGCGACCGGCAAACGGGUGCGGAACACGUACACAACCUUCCUAUAAGUGGGGAAUAGCCCAGAGAAAUUUGGAUUAAUACCCCGUAACAUAAUGAUGUGGCAUCACAUUAUUAUUAUAGCUACGGCGCUUAUUGAUGGGUGUGCGGCUGAUUAGAUAGUUGGCGGGGUAACGGCCCACCAAGUCUACGAUCAGUAGCUGAUGUGAGAGCAUGAUCAGCCACACGGGCACUGAGACACGGGGCCCACUCCUACGGGAGGCAGCAGUAAGGAAUAUUGGUCAAUGGGUGAGAGCCUGAUCCAGCCAUGCCGCGUGCAGGAAGAAGGCCUUCUGGGUUGUAAACUGCUUUUAUCUGGGAUAAAAAGGACCUUGCGAGGCAAACUAGAAGGU
rnacentral:rRNA from 1 species